AUGUCAGAGGGUAAGGAAUAAGCU
rnacentral:piRNA from 1 species